GGUCACUUAACAUGAUCAAUGCCAGAGGCCUGAGGUCCAUAUCAAAUUGACAGAGUUGCAGCUCCCGAUAUUAGCAUCUCCUGAUGAAACCAGACCUCACCAGUUCCAGAUGCUCUAGCUAGUCAACUUGUUCCAAGGAUCCCUGUCUCUGCCUCCCAAGUAGUGGGACUUCUGGCAGGCUACCACAUCUGCACAGGUGUUGUGUGGGUCUGGGCACCUACAUUCCUGUUCUUAUACAGGUGAAGUACCUCAGUGUCUGUCUCAGAUCUACACACAAUAGAUCAGGU